GACGAACGCUGGCGGCGUGCUUAACACAUGCAAGUCGAACGGAAAGGCCCUGCUUUUGUGGGGUGCUCGAGUGGCGAACGGGUGAGUAACACGUGAGUAACCUGCCCUUGACUUUGGGAUAACUUCAGGAAACUGGGGCUAAUACCGGAUAGGAGCUCCUGCUGCAUGGUGGGGGUUGGAAAGUUUCGGCGGUUGGGGAUGGACUCGCGGCUUAUCAGCUUGUUGGUGGGGUAGUGGCUUACCAAGGCUUUGACGGGUAGCCGGCCUGAGAGGGUGACCGGCCACAUUGGGACUGAGAUACGGCCCAGACUCCUACGGGAGGCAGCAGUGGGGAAUAUUGCACAAUGGGCGGAAGCCUGAUGCAGCAACGCCGCGUGCGGGAUGACGGCCUUCGGGUUGUAAACCGCUUUCGCCUGUGACGAAGCGUGAGUGACGGUAAUGGGUAAAGAAGCACCGGCUAACUACGUGCCAGCAGCCGCGGUGAUACGUAGGGUGCGAGCGUUGUCCGGAUUUAUUGGGCGUAAAGGGCUCGUAGGUGGUUGAUCGCGUCGGAAGUGUAAUCUUGGGGCUUAACCCUGAGCGUGCUUUCGAUACGGGUUGACUUGAGGAAGGUAGGGGAGAAUGGAAUUCCUGGUGGAGCGGUGGAAUGCGCAGAUAUCAGAGGAACACCAGUGGCGAAGGCGGUUCUCUGGGCCUUUCCUGACGCUGAGGAGCGAAAGCGUGGGGAGCGAACAGGCUUAGAUACCCUGGUAGUCCACGCUGUAAACGGUGGGUACUAGGUGUGGGGUCCAUUCCACGGGUUCCGUGCCGUAGCUAACGCUUUAAGUACCCCGCCUGGGGAGUACGGCCGCAAGGCUAAAACUCAAAGGAAUUGACGGGGCCCCGCACAAGCGGCGGAGCAUGCGGAUUAAUUCGAUGCAACGCGUAGAACCUUACCUGGGUUUGACAUGGAUCGGGAGUGCUCAGAGAUGGGUGUGCCUCUUUUGGGGUCGGUUCACAGGUGGUGCAUGCCUGUCGUCAGCUCGUGUCGUGAGAUGUUGGGUUAAGUCCCGCAACGAGCGCAACCCUUGUUCACUGUUGCCAGCACGUUAUGGUGGGGACUCAGUGGAGACCGCCGGGGUCAACUCGGAGGAAGGUGGGGAUGACGUCAAGUCCUCAUGCCCCUUAUGUCCAGGGCUUCACGCAUGCUACAAUGGCUGGUACAGAGAGUGGCGAGCCUGUGAGGGUGAGCGAAUCUCGGAAAGCCGGUCUCAGUUCGGAUUGGGGUCUGCAACUCGACCUCAUGAAGUCGGAGUCGCUAGUAAUCGCAGAUCAGCAACGCUGCGGUGAAUACGUUCCCGGGGCU
rnacentral:rRNA from 1 species